UAGCCUAUAUUACUCUGUGCUGUGUCAGAAAUACGGUGGAGCCUUGUAGUUGGGUGCAUAUUGUAAAAUGUUUCCUCACUCCAAAACCAUGAACUCUGGUUUCCUAAACCCUCAAGCUAUGCAGCCGAAGGAGGAGACUUAUCACAGGAGAAUCACUAAUAAUUUUGAAGAAGUGAAGAGCUUAACAAUGUUUCAACCAACACCUAAAGAAGCUUUCACUUAGCUGUUAGAUCAAGGGCUGGAUACAGAAAACAGUAAUCCUUGUGAUGGCAGUAUUGUCCAAGGAUUCCUUACUCAAAACCAUGAUAACAAGUUUCUAGAACCCUCAAGCUAUGCAGACAAAGGACUGGAUAUAUUUUUUCGUGACCAAGCCUUCUGUAUAAUUAUUUAUACUUAAACCAUACAAAGCACUAUCUAGCCCCAAAGUAGGCAUACAGAGUAGCUUGUGUUGUGGGUACUAAGAUAGUUGAUAUUAUAAUAUUAAUUUACAUUUAUAUACUACCUAUAAAUACUUAUAUAAUGUAUAAAUACACACACACUGGAAAAAACCCAUGCUCUUCACACAAAUAUUUUCCAGGUGUGGGAAUCGAACCCAUGACCGUGGAUGCAGGAGCACUACUUACUGCGCCACGCGUAUGUGUUUUUAUUUUGAAGCAAAUUAUUAAAGUUGAUAAUUCAAAUUGUAGUCAUGUUUUUAAUUAAUCUAUAAUUAAUUUUUAAUUUACAUUUUUGUUAAAUAUUUACCUAUACUUCAGUCUAUUUUUGUUAGAGGGGGUACCUAUAUGUGUAAGUAGGGUCGUUUCUUGAUUAAAUUAAACUAAAGAAUGAAAGAUAUAUAUUAUAACAAAAUUUGUCAACAACAAUAUAUCAAGUCUGAAUAAAAAAUACCAACACAAGUAAA